CGUGGACUCAAAGCACAGUUUCGCUUUAUUCCAAUGCAGAAACCCAGUCCCGACGCAUUCUCACAUAUAUUAUAUGUUUAUACGUGGCUAACGAGAUUCGUCAUGAUUGAUGACACUCGCGGAACCUGUCAGCCGAUGACCCUGAUGCUCACUGAUUAAAACUUGCUACGGUUGCACGUAUCCAGUUUCAUUACGUAACGAGACUGUAUAAUUAUAAAUUAACAUUACCAUUGUUAACGUAUUCGUUAAUUCCAAUUAUUAUCGAUGAAGUAUAAUAAGAGCCAAUCGUUCGUGUACAAUUAUGAUCAAACGCAAUAAGUUUGAUUCAGACUACUCGAACCGUGAACGGAAUUAACGCGAAGGACGAUCGGUUGAAGAAAUAGUUUGUCGUCGUACGCUAUUAGAAAUUGUACG